UUCUGGGCACUUUUUCUCCCUGAAGACGGCCGCUGGCCUAGGUACUGAGGAGGAAAACGCCCCUAGCUCCACUUGUCCCUAAACGCGCUUCGCGCCGGUGUCAACUCACGUCAAGGACUCAAGGUAAGUUCUCGCAUUCCUUGUGCUGCGAUGUUUUCUACGCGCGACGAUGAAAUUUCUCCACGCAGUACGCGUCUCUACUUAGAACUAUUUUCAGCGUGACAGUUUUUGUAUUUUCUUGUAGCCUGGGAACACCGUUCAAUUGGUGCGACAGAAACUUAUGCAGCUUCCGUCUCACGCAUUGUAUGGAAACGGUUGUAUACCGCUUGUAGUUACUUUCUUGCCAUAGAGUUGAACUAGUAAAAGGUGCCCAUGCUGCGAGUGCAGUCGUAACGCUUUGACGUUGGAUCCGAGCCCAUGGAGAAAGUUGGAGCUGUAGAGCUGUAUGUUUUUGGACAAAGUCAUCAAUUCCAUUGCUCUUCCUAUGCCAAGUGGCCAG
rnacentral:lncRNA from 1 species